UGGAAGAGAGAAGGCCCGUGGUUGGACUUAAAUCAAUGUGCUUUGCUUUGGAGGACUAAAUGGAUUGAUUAAGGCAUACACAGGAGUGACUUUAUGCUACGUACUUAUUGGUUCCUCUUUGCUGUAAUGGGGGAAGCUGUGCACUUUGACAACAGAAACUCACAGGUGUUGACGUCAAGAAUAGAAAUGAAGGUCAUUGCUCCUAUCCAGUGGAGAGAGCUUCUUUUCUGUGGAGCUACUGAAGAGUUGGAGGGUGUUUUCUUUACGUCCAGCAGAAAUGAGGAGAAAGUUCACAGCCCCAGUUGUUGUGUGGAUAGAUGCGAUCCCUGCAUCCCUCCAGUCAAUCUCUGCCUGAGAAGUCAGCCGCAGGAAACAAAAUUUAAAAGAACACAUUCAAUAGCUAUAGUGGUGUUAUUUUAAGCUCCCAUAUCAAACAAUGCUCCCUCAGUCAAAAUAGUACAAGUACUAGACUAUUUACCACAAUAAAUAAGGACUGUAUUAGAG
rnacentral:lncRNA from 1 species